CAACUCAUGCCUAUAUGGCAGCUAAAAGAAACUGAAUCUGCCGAGCAAUCUAUCAAGGUUCCACCAUUGAUAGUUGAUUUUGAUGGAAACGGUCUUAAAGAAAUCAUCAUUGUAUC